CUACGGGAGGCAGCAGUGGGGAAUAUUGGACAAUGGGCGAAAGCCUGAUCCAGCAACGCCGCGUGAGGGAUGACGGCCUUCGGGUUGUAAACCUCUUUCAGCAGGGACGAAGCGAGAGUGACGGUACCUGCAGAAGAAGGACCGGCCAACUACGUGCCAGCAGCCGCGGUAAUACGUAGGGUCCGAGCGUUGUCCGGAAUUAUUGGGCGUAAAGGGCUCGUAGGCGGUUUGUCGCGUCGGGAGUGAAAACUCAGGGCUCAACCCUGAGCGUGCUUCCGAUACGGGCAGACUAGAGGUAUUCAGGGGAGAACGGAAUUCCUGGUGUAGCGGUGGAAUGCGCAGAUAUCAGGAGGAACACCGGUGGCGAAGGCGGUUCUCUGGGAAUUACCUGACGCUGAGGAGCGAAAGCAUGGGGAGCGAACAGGAUUAGAUACCCGUGUAGUCC
rnacentral:rRNA from 1 species